UUAGGAUUUCUUCAUCUGUGUGGUUUUCUGGAGAACCCAAACUGCAGACUGCAGACUCUGAGGUUAAUGUUCUGCAGUUUGUCAAAGAUCAGCUGUGAUGCUCUGGUCACAGCUCUGAAGUCCAACCUGUCCCAACUGACAGACCUGGACCUGAGAGGGAACAACUUGCAGGCUUCUGAUGUUCUUCAGCUUCAUGGUCUGGUGGAGAGUCCAAACUCCAAACUGCAGACUCUGAGGGUAGAGGGAACAGAUUUGUAGUCUGCAGAGAUCUUGGGACUGGAUGGUGGGCCUGCAGAGUAGGUGGAGAGCAGAGUGAUGGAGGAAUCAGAGGAAGUGGAGAUGAGUGUCAGAGCUGCAGCAUGAACUGAUCUGAGAUCAGCUCCACUGUCUCUCUCAGCAUCAAGUGGACAGUUGUUGUGCUGGAGCUCCCCCAGUGGACUGAUGGAGAACUGCACUUCAUCUUCUCAUUCUAACUUGGAAUGUUGAUUUGAAACAUCAGUUGGAUUCAGAUAUUCAGCAGCUCCAGGAUAUGAAGAAUAUAGACCUGAAAACAGUUUUUUUUUUUUUAUUUCACUACUUUUAUAUUUUAUAUACAAUACUAUUGAUAGUAGACGUAAGUUUGUGACUGGACCAACUGAGGACUGAGUGAAUCACUGAUCAGACAGAACGGUUCCCUUUUCUGUCUCUGUAACAUGGAAAGACAUUUAAACCACAACUCUGGAAUACAUGAUACUGCAUAAAUCCAAUCUGAGCUCAGUUAAUGAAAUAGAGUCUCUUAGUUG